rnacentral:rRNA from 1 species
AGUGAACGCUGGCGGUAGGCCUAACACAUGCCAGUCGAACGGCAGCACAGUAAGAGCUUGCUCUUACGGGUGGCGAGUGGCGGACGGGUGAGGAAUACAUCGGAAUCUACUUUUUCGUGGGGGAUAACGUAGGGAAACUUACGCUAAUACCGCAUACGACCUACGGGUGAAAGCAGGGGAUCUUCGGACCUUGCGCGAUUGAAUGAGCCGAUGUCGGAUUAGCUAGUUGGCGGGGUAAAGGCCCACCAAGGCGACGAUCCGUAGCUGGUCUGAGAGGAUGAUCAGCUACACUGGAACUGAGACACGGUCCAGACUCCUAUGGGAGGCAGCAGUGGGGAAUAUUGGACAAUGGGCGCAAGCCUGAUCCAGCCAUACCGCGUGGGUGAAGAAGGCCUUCGGGUUGUAAAGCCCUUUUGUUGGGAAAGAAAAGCAGCAGGUUAAUACCCCGCUGUUCUGACGGUACCCAAAGAAUAAGCACCGGCUAACUUCGUG